rnacentral:lncRNA from 1 species
CUGGCAGCUGAGCCCUCUUCGUCAGGAGUUCUCAAUGGCCCCCAAGGUGCCUUUGUUUCCUCAAGGGGUUUUCAUAGCAUCCUCAGCUGUGGCAAUGUAUCGCAUCCUGUAUUACCUUCCCCUGACCUCAUAGCUUCCCAAAACAGGAACAAUCAUGGGCUUUGAAGUUACAGGAAUGCAGAUGUGAUUCCUAUGGAUGAGGGUAACCUAGAGGCUAGAAGAACAAUAGGACAGAAGAAGCCUGGGUCCCUGAACAACCUUGUGGAGCAUAGACACCUACGUGGCCUGGACUGCCAGCUCACAAUGGGCCUCUCUGUGAGAGAAGGAAACUUCCCUCUUGUUUAAGCAACUGUGCUUUUGAGAAUCUCUUGGUCUAUACCCUAAUGAAUAAGGCCAUCAUAAAUGGAUAUCAAAGUAAGGAAAUUUGUGUAAAUGAUUUAAUAAAACAUUACCUCAG